rnacentral:rRNA from 1 species
ACUGCUCAGUAACACGUGGACAAUCUGCCCUGAAGUGGAGAAUAAUCCCGGGAAACUGGGGGUAAUACUCCAUAGUUCGUUAUUACUGGAAUGUUUUUCGAACGAAAGAUCCGUCGCUUCAGGAUGAGUCUGCGGCCGAUUAGGUAGUUGUUGGGGUAAUUGCCCAACAAGCCUGUAAUCGGUACGGGUUGUGGGAGCAAGAGCCCGGAGAUGGAUUCUGAGACACGAAUCCAGGCCCUACGGGGCGCAGCAGGCGCGAAAACUUUACCAUGCGGGCAACCGUGAUAAGGAAACCCCGAGUGCCAGCACAGGCUGGCUGUCCGCCAGUUUAAACAACUGGCGAAGAAAGGGCCGGGCAAGACCGGUGCCAGCCGCCGCGGUAAUACCGGCGGCUCGAGUGGUGGCCGCUAUUACUGGGCUUAAAGGGUCCGUAGCUUGAUAAUAGGGUCCCUUGAGAAAUCCGCCGGCUUAACUGGCGGGCGUUCAGGGGAAACUUGUUUUCUAGGGACCGGGAGAGGUGAGGGGUACUGCCGGGGUAGGAGUGAAAUCCUGUAAUCCCGGUGGGACCACCUAUGGCGAAGGCAUCUCACCAGAACGGGUCCGACAGUGAGGGACGAAAGCUGGGGGAGCAAACCGGAUUAGAUACCCGGGUAGUCCUAGCCGUAAACGAUACUCGCUAGGUGUCGGCCACGGUGCGACCGUUGUCGGUGCCGUAGGGAAGCCGUGAAGCGAGCCACCUGGGAAGUACGGCCGCAAGGCUGAAACUUAAAGGAAUUGGCGGGGGAGCAC